GAUGAACGCUGGCGGCGUGCCUAAUACAUGCAAGUCGAACGCUAAAGGAGUAGCUUGCUCUUCUGGAUGAGUGGCGAACGGGUGAGUAACGCGUAGGUAACCUGCCUUGUAGCUUGGGAUAACUAUUGGAAACGAUAGCUAAUACCGCAUGACAACCGUUCUUGCAUGGUAAGUGUUUGAAAGUGGCAACUGCUCCGCUACCAGAUGGCCCUGCGUUGUGUUAGGUAGGUGGUGUGGUAACGCCUCACCAUGGCGACUAUCCAGAGCCGCCCUGAGAGGGGGAUUGGCCACACUGGGACUGAGACCCGGCCCAGACUCCUACGGGAGGGAGCAAGAGGGAAACUUCGGAAAGGGACGGAAGGCUGACCGAGCAACGCCGCGGGAGGGAAGAAGGGUGUCGGGUCGUAAAGGUCUGUUGUAAGAGAAGAAAGAGCGUGAGAGUGGAAAGUUCACACUGUGACGGUAUCUGAUCAGAAAGCGACGGCUAACUACGUG
rnacentral:rRNA from 1 species